GACGAACCGUGCGAACGUUAUUCGGAAUCACUGGGCUUAAAGCGCGUGUAGGCGGGACGGCACGUCGGUCGCUGAAAUCCCCCGGCUCAACCGGGGAACGGGCGCCGAUACGACCGCCCUGGAGGGGCGUAGGGGGACCUGGAACUUCCGGUGGAGCGGUGAAAUGCGUUGAGAUCGGAAGGAACGCCCGUGGCGAAAGCGAGGUCCUGGACGCUUACUGACGCUGAGACGCGAAAGCCAGGGGAGCGGAACGGG
rnacentral:rRNA from 1 species